AGGGGUCAAAAACCAUCAAAAAAUGUCAUAGUAUAGUAAGAUGUCAAAAACCAUCAAAAAAUGUCAUAGUAUAGUAAGACAUGAAAAAUGGUCAAAAAAUGUCAUAGUAUAGUAAGAUGUCAAAAAUGGUCAAAAAAUGUCAUAGUAUAGUAAGAUGUCAAAAAUGGUCAAAAAAUGUCAUAGUAUAGUAAGACAUGAAAAAUGGUCAAAAAAUGUCAUAGUAUAGUAAGAUGUCAAAAACCAUCAAAAAAUGUCAUAGUAUAGUAAGACAUGAAAAAUGGUCAAAAAAUGUCAUAGUAUAAUAAGAUGUCAAAAAUGGUCAAAAAAUGUCAUAGUAUAGUAAGAUGUCAAAAAUGGUCAAAAAAUGUCAUAGUAUAGUAAGACAUGAAAAAUGGUCAAAAAAUGUCAGUAUAAUAAGGUGUCAAAAAUGGUCAAAAAAUGUCAUAGUAUAGUAAGACAUGAAAAAUGGUCAAAAAAUGUCAUAGUAUAGUAAGACAUGAAAAAUGGUCAAAAAAUGUCAUAGUAUAGUAAGACAUGAAAAAUGGUCAAAAAAUGUCAUAGUAUAGUAAGACAUGAAAAAUGGUCAAAAAAUGUCAUAGUAUAGUAAGGUGUCAAAAACCAUCAAAAAAUGUCAUAGUAUAGUAAGACAUGAAAAAUGGUCAAAAAAUGUCAUAGUAUAGUAAGGUGUCAAAAACCAUCAAAAAAUGUCAUAGUAUAGUAAGACAUGAAAAAUGGUCAAAAAAUGUCAUAGUAUAGUAAGGUG